rnacentral:rRNA from 1 species
AUUAGAGUUUGAUCCUGGCUCAGGACGAACGCUGGCGGCGUGCUUAACACAUGCAAGUCGAACGGUGACGAGCAGCUUGCUGCUCUGAUCAGUGGCGAACGGGUGAGUAACACGUGAGCAACCUACCCUUGACUCCGGGAUAACAGCUGGAAACAGCUGCUAAUACCGGAUACGACCUCGACCGACAUCUGUUGAGGUGGAAAGUUCUGGCGGUCAAGGAUGGGCUCGCGGCCUAUCAGCUAGUUGGUGAGGUAACGGCUCACCAAGGCUUCGACGGGUAGCCGGCCUGAGAGGGCGACCGGCCACACUGGGACUGAGAUACGGCCCAGACUCCUACGGGAGGCAGCAGUGGGGAAUAUUGCACAAUGGGCGAAAGCCUGAUGCAGCAACGCCGCGUGCGGGAUGACGGCCUUCGGGUUGUAAACCGCUUUCAGCUCCGACGAAGCGCAAGUGACGGUAGGAGCAGAAGAAGGACCGGCCAACUACGUGCCAGCAGCCGCGGUGAUACGUAGGGUCCGAGCGUUGUCCGGAAUUAUUGGGCGUAAAGGGCUUGUAGGCGGUUUGUCGCGUCGGAAGUGAAAACUCAGGGCUUAACCCUGAGCCUGCUUCCGAUACGGGCAAACUAGAGGAAUGCAGGGGAGAAUGGAAUUCCUGGUGGAGCGGUGGAAUACGCAGAUAUCAGGAGGAACACCAGUGCGAAGGCGGUUCUCUGGGCAUUUCCUGACGCUGAGAAGCGAAAGCGUGGGGAGCAAACAGGCUUAGAUACCCUGGUAGUCCACGCCGUAAACGGUGGGCACUAGGUGUGGGACUCAUUCCACGAGUUCCGUGCCGUAGCUAACGCAUUAAGUGCCCCGCCUGGGGAGUACGGCCGCAAGGCUAAAACUCAAAG